GAAGGUUUUGAUGGGCCGAAGGUCUAGAAGGGUCGGCCCAUAUGUCAAGAGCAAUCAACCUAGGACGAAGGGCAAGACAAGCUGAAGGCUUCAAAACUCAGACUCUGACGAACCGUCCACGGUCAAAAUUUAGCAUAAUUUUGUUGUGUCGGCCAUGGAAGAAAUUUGGCCCACUUUGGUUGGGUUGGCUCGGGAGAAAUUUGGUUGAAUUUGGCAAAGUCAUUCAUGAAUGAAAUUUGGUCGAAUUCGACCAAGUCG
rnacentral:lncRNA from 1 species